rnacentral:rRNA from 1 species
AUUGAACGCUGGCGGCAGGCCUAACACAUGCAAGUCGAGCGGAUGAAGGGAGCUUGCUCCUGGAUUCAGCGGCGGACGGGUGAGUAAUGCCUAGGAAUCUGCCUGGUAGUGGGGGAUAACGUCCGGACACGGGCGCUAAUACCGCAUACGUCCAGAGGGAGAAAGUGGGGGAUCUUCGGACCUCACGCUAUCAGAUGAGCCUAGGUCGGAUUAGCUAGUUGGUUGGGUAAAGGCCUACCAAGGCGACGAUCCGUAACUGGUCUGAGAGGAUGAUCAGUCACACUGGAACUGAGACACGGUCCAGACUCCUACGGGAGGCAGCAGUAGGGAAUAUUGGGCAAUGGGCGAAAGCCUGAUCCAGCCAUGCCGCGUGUGUGAAGAAGGUCUUCGGAUUGUAAAGCACUUUAAGUUGGGAAGAAGAGCAGUAAGUUAAUACCUGGCUGUUUUGACGUUACCAACAGAAUAAGCACCGGCUAACUUCGUG